GACGAACGCUGGCGGCGUGCCUAAUACAUGCAAGUCGAGCGGACGAAUCGAAAGCUUGCUUUUGAUUCGUUAGCGGCGGACGGGUGAGUAACACGUGGGCAGCCUGCCCUGUAGACGGGGAUAACACCGAGAAAUCGGUGCUAAUACCGGAUAACACGAAAUGUCGCAUGACGUUUCGUCGAAAGACGGCGCAAGCUGCCGCUACAGGAUGGGCCCGCGGCGCAUUAGCUAGUUGGUGAGGUAACGGCUCACCAAGGCGACGAUACGUAGCCGACCUGAGAGGGUGAUCGGCCACACUGGGACUGAGACACGGCCCAGACUCCUACGGGAGGCAGCAGUAGGGAAUCUUCCGCAAUGGACGAAAGUCUGACGGAGCAACGCCGCGUGAGCGAAGAAGGCCUUCGGGUCGUAAAGCUCUGUUGUUAGGGAAGAACAAGUAACGCAGUAACUGGCGUUACCGUGACGGUACCUAACGAGAAAGCCACGGCUAACUACGUG
rnacentral:rRNA from 1 species